GGUUGUGGCCUUUGAAUGUUGGA
rnacentral:siRNA from 1 species